rnacentral:rRNA from 1 species
CCUGGCGGCCCUAGCGCGGUGGACCCACCUGAACCCAUGCCGAACUCAGAAGUGAAACGCCGUAGCGCCGAUGGUAGUGUGGGGUCUCCCCAUGCGAGAGUAGGACACUGCCAGGC